AUUGAACGCUGGCGGCGUGCCUUACACAUGCAAGUCGAACGGUAACAGGUCUUCGGAUGCUGACGAGUGGCGAACGGGUGAGUAAUACAUCGGAACGUGCCUAGUAGUGGGGGAUAACUACUCGAAAGAGUGGCUAAUACCGCAUGAGAUCUACGGAUGAAAGCAGGGGAUCGCAAGACCUUGUGCUACUAGAGCGGCCGAUGGCAGAUUAGGUAGUUGGUGGGAUAAAAGCUUACCAAGCCGACGAUCUGUAGCUGGUCUGAGAGGACGAUCAGCCACACUGGGACUGAGACACGGCCGGGACUCCUACGGGAGGCAGCAGUGGGGAAUUUUGGGCAAUGGGCGAAAGCCUGAUCCAGCAAUGCAGCGUGCAGGAUGAAGGCCUUCGGGUUGUAAACUGCUUUUGUACGGAACGAAAAGCCCUGGGUUAAUACCCUGGGGUCAUGACGGUACCGUAAGAAUAAGCACCGGCUAACUACGUGCCAGCCGCCGCAGUAA
rnacentral:rRNA from 1 species